GGUGGCUCAGUGGUAGAGCGCUUACUUUGAAUGCAUGAUGCCCUAGGUUCGAUUCCUCAGCACCA
rnacentral:tRNA from 1 species